rnacentral:rRNA from 1 species
UACGGGGGGAGCAAGCGUUGUUCGGAUUUACUGGGCGUAAAGGGCGCGUAGGCGGUCAGCACAAGUCAGUUGUGAAAUCUCCGGGCUUAACUCGGAAAGGUCAACUGAUACUGUGCGACUAGAGUGCAGAAGGGGCAACUGGAAUUCUCGGUGUAGCGGUGAAAUGCGUAGAUAUCGAGAGGAACACCUGCGGCGAAGGCGGGUUGCUGGGACGGUACUGACGCUGAGACGCGAAAGCGUGGGGAGCGAACAGG